rnacentral:lncRNA from 1 species
GGGGCGGUCAUGCACAGGAUUCGAGGGGACACUUCGGCUAUGCCAAUCUCUCUGUACUUCCUUCAUUCGAAAUUCAAACUCGGAAGUAGGGGGACUGGUGUUGGGUAUAAAACACCCUCAGCCGAUGUUCUCAGCGGGAUUGACCCUUGCAGGCCCCCUCCGACUUUCGACUACUGGUGGACUCCGCCCGGAUUCCUACGGGAGCCGGGCUCCAUCCUCGACUCCA